rnacentral:rRNA from 1 species
UACGGAGGGGGCUAGCGUUGUUCGGAAUUACUGGGCGUAAAGCGCGCGUAGGCGGCUUUGUAAGUUAGAGGUGAAAGCCCGGAGCUCAACUCCGGAACUGCCUUUAAGACUGCAUCGCUAGAACGUCGGAGAGGUAAGUGGAAUUCCGAGUGUAGAGGUGAAAUUCGUAGAUAUUCGGAAGAACACCAGUGGCGAAGGCGGCUCACUGGACCGGUAUUGACGCUGAGGUGCGAAAGCGUGGGGAGCAAACAGG